GGGCUUGUGGUUUAGUGGUAGUAAGUUCAUUCUAUAGAUGUCCGGCCGUAGCCACAGCUUCUAACAACUCAUCAGUAAUUUUCCCUUAGCAUGGGAAAGGUCCUGGGUUCGAUUCCCAGCAAGUCCA